rnacentral:rRNA from 1 species
AGUGUACGCUGGCGGUAGGCCUAACACAUGCAAGUCGAACGGCAGCACAGUAAGAGCUUGCUCUUACGGGUGGCGAGUGGCGGACGGGUGAGGAAUACAUCGGAAUCUACUUUUUCGUGGGGGAUAACGUAGGGAAACUUACGCUAAUACCGCAUACGACCUACGGGUGAAAGCAGGGGAUCUUCGGACCUUGCGCGAUUGAAUGAGCCGAUGUCGGAUUAGCUAGUUGGCGGGGUAAAGGCCCACCAAGGCGACGAUCCGUAGCUGGUCUGAGAGGAUGAUCAGCCACACUGGAACUGAGACACGGUCCAGACUCUUACGGGAGGCAGCAGUGGGGAAUAUUGGACAAUGGGCGCAAGCCUGAUCCAGCCAUACCGCGUGGGUGAAGAAGGCCUUCGGGUUGUAAAGCCCUUUUGUUGGGAAAGAAAAGCAGCAGGUUAAUACCCCGCUGUUCUGACGGUACCCAAAGAAUAAGCACCGGCUAACUUCGUG